CCUACGGGAGGCAGCAGUGGGGAAUAUUGGACAAUGGGGGCAACCCUGAUCCAGCCAUGCCGCGUGUGUGAAGAAGGCCCUCGGGUUGUAAAGCACUUUCAGUGAGGAAGAACGCCUGGUGGUUAAUACCCAUCAGGAAAGACAUCACUCACAGAAGAAGCACCGGCUAACUCCGUGGCAGCAGCCGCGGUAAUACGGAGGGUGCGAGCGUUAAUCGGAAUUACUGGGCGUAAAGCGCGCGUAGGUGGCUUGAUAAGCCGGUUGUGAAAGCCCCGGGCUCAACCUGGGAACGGCAUCCGGAACUGUCAAGCUAGAGUGCAGGAGAGGAAGGUAGAAUUCCCGGUGUAGCGGUGAAAUGCGUAGAGAUCGGGAGGAAUACCAGUGGCGAAGGCGGCCUUCUGGACUGACACUGACACUGAGGUGCGAAAGCGUGGGUAGCAAACAGGAUUAGAUACCCCAGUAGUC
rnacentral:rRNA from 1 species